rnacentral:rRNA from 1 species
GACGAACGCUGGCGGCAGGCUUAACACAUGCAAGUCGAGCGAGCGGCGGACGGGUGAGUAAUGUCUGUGAACCUGCCUGAUGGAGGGGGAUAACUACUGGAAACGGUGGCUAAUCCCGCAUACCAUCCACUGUGCCCAGAUGGGAUUCGCUAGUAGGUGGGGUAAUGGCUCACAUAGGCGCCGAGCCCUAGCUGAUCUGAGAGGAUGAUCAGCCACACUGGAACUGAGACACGGUCCAGACUCCUACGGGAGGCAGCAGUGGGGAAUAUUGCACAAUGGGCGAAAGCCUGACGGAGCAACGCCGCGUGAGUGAAGAAGGCCUUCGGGUCGUAAAACACUGUUAUUGGGGAGGCGGUACCCGAAGAAGAAGCACCGGCUAACUACGUGCCAGCAGCCGCGGUAAUAC